GACGUAGGGGGCCAGCGUUGUUCGGAAUUACUGGGUGUAAAGGGUUCGUAGGCGGUGCGGCAAGUUGGGAGUGAAAUCUCUGGGCUUAACCCAGAGGCUGCUUCCAAAACUGCUGUGCUUGAGUGUGGGAGAGGCGCGUGGAAUUGCAGGUGUAGCGGUGAAAUGCGUAGAUAUCUGCAGGAACACCCGUGGCGAAGGCGGCGCGCUGGACCACUACUGACGCUGAGACGCGAAAGCGUGGGGAGCGAACAGG
rnacentral:rRNA from 1 species